GACGAACGCUGGCGGCGUGCUUAACACAUGCAAGUCGAACGGUAAGGCCCUUCGGGGUACACGAGUGGCGAACGGGUGAGUAACACGUGGGUGAUCUGCCCUGCACUUCGGGAUAAGCCUGAGAAACUGGGUCUAAUACCGGAUAGGACCACUGCCUGCAUGGGUGGUGGUGGAAAGCUUUUGCGGUGUGGGAUGGGGCCGCGGCCUAUCAGCUUGUUGGUGGGGUGGUGGCCUACCAAGGCGACGACGGGUAGCCGGCCUGAGAGGGUGACCGGCCACACUGGGACUGAGAUACGGCCCAGACUCCUACGGGAGGCAGCAGUGGGGAAUAUUGCACAAUGGGCGCAAGCCUGAUGCAGCGACGCCGCGUGAGGGAUGACGGCCUUCGGGUUGUAAACCUCUUUCAGCACCGACGAAGCGCAAGUGACGGUAGGUGCAGAAGAAGGACCGGCCAACUACGUGCCAGCAGCCGCCGUAA
rnacentral:rRNA from 1 species